rnacentral:lncRNA from 1 species
GCUCAUUUAAUCAAUGUAUUCAUGAUACUGAGCUAAUAUAUUAAAGGGAUGCCCCAGCCAAGAAUACACAGUGGACCAUGGCAUCCUGUCACUUGCGUGUGCCCUUACUGUCCUCAGUACAGUGCUACCAGCCUUUCAGAUUUUGCCCAGGACGGCUCUGGGAGUCAUUGCAAGGUCUUAACAUUUUCUUGAACAUCUAAAUUAUAAUUACAGAACAUAAUUUUAAUAAGUUUUAAUAUGUAGUGUAGUUAGUUGACCUGAAUGACUGGAAACAUUAUAAAAUCUUGCAUGUGUGUACAUGUUUAAUGACAUGUCUAAUUUAGUUUAGAAAGAAUCCACUAUUUUGAAACACAAGGUGAUCUCCUCUGUUUCCUUCUCAAUUUCUUUAUUCAUACUGCUGGAAUUACCAUAGUCAAAUGCCUUGCCAUGCCUCCAUGCUUAC